UACGGAGGGAGCUAGCGUUACUCGGAAUUACUGGGCGUAAAGCGCACGUAGGCGGCUUUGUAAGUAAGAGGUGAAAGCCUGGAGCUCAACUCCAGAAUUGCCUUUUAGACUGCAUCGCUUGAAUCAUGGAGAGGUGAGUGGAAUUCCGAGUGUAGAGGUGAAAUUCGUAGAUAUUCGGAAGAACACCAGUGGCGAAGGCGGCUCACUGGACAUGUAUUGACGCUGAGGUGCGAAAGCGUGGGGAGCAAACAGG
rnacentral:rRNA from 1 species